CUUGCAGCAAAGCCUAGACAUGAAUACCUCCUAACAAGAAUUCAGGGAUACCAGAUGUCUCUCUGUCUGCUUGCGAUUGUGAAUUUCUACCUCAGGUAGUCUGACAGGAGGCCUGUUAGACUUGACUGAAUCAGAUUGGAGCUGUGGAAUAUAGAGAAUAAUGCCCUCCAUUCACUCCAGAGCAGAGGCUGUGGGAUCAGUGGUGCCACCACUCUACAAAGAUUAAGAAAUGGAGGCACAGAGAGGACAAGUGGGAAAUAGCACCAUCGGAACAUCUGCCCUGCUGGUUUCUUUCAUUUUAUGUGUAAAUGAGUUUCAACAGCAACACUUUCUGUCAUCCUUGUCAAUGAUCUGGAAUCAAAGUUACCAGAGAACCUCUUAAGAAAAUGUGUGGUGUAAAGAACUAUGGAUCCUCCAAAUAUUUUUCUAGAACACAGAAGACAACAUUGAUCUGAAAUUCCUGGAUCUGAAGCAGUUCUUAUUGGAAGGGGGAAAUAGUUU